GGCAGCAGUGGGGAAUAUUGCACAAUGGGGGCAAGCCUGAUGCAGCCAUGCCGCGUGUAUGAAGAAGGCCUUCGGGUUGUAAAGUCUUUCAGCGGGGAGGAAGGGAGUAAAGUUAAUACCUUUGCUCAUUGACGUUACCCGCAGAAGAAGCACCGGCUAACUCCGUGCCAGCAGCCGCGGUAAUACGGAGGGUGCAAGCGUUAAUCGGAAUUACUGGGCGUAAAGCGCACGCAGGCGGUUUGUUAAGUCAAAUGUGAAAUCCCCGGGCUCAACCUGGGAACUGCAUUUGAUACUGGCAAGCUUGAGUCUUGUAGAGGGGGGUAGAAUUCCAGGUGUAGCGGUGAAAUGCGUAGAGAUGUGGAGGAAUACCGGUGGCGAAGGCGC
rnacentral:rRNA from 1 species